rnacentral:ncRNA from 1 species
AAACUGAAGAGUUUGAUCAUGGCUCAGAUUGAACGCUGGCGGCAGGCCUAACACAUGCAAGUCGAGCGGUAACAGAUCUAGCUUGCUAGAUGCUGACGAGCGGCGGACGGGUGAGUAAUGCAUAGGGAUCUGCCUGGUAGUGGGGGAUAGCCCAGAGAAAUUUGGAUUAAUACCGCAUACGCCCUACGGGGGAAAGCAGGGGAUCCGUUCUUUUCGGAGAGUGGACCUUGCGCUAUCAGAUGAACCUAUGUCGGAUUAGCUUGUUGGUGAGGUAAUGGCUCACCAAGGCGACGAUCCGUAGCUGGUCUGAGAGGAUGAUCAGCCACACUGGGACUGAGACACGGCCCAGACUCCUACGGGAGGCAGCAGUGG